UAAAUCAUGAUUGGUUAUUUCCAGAAAUGC
rnacentral:piRNA from 1 species